rnacentral:lncRNA from 1 species
ACUUCAGGUCAUGUUUCUGUUGAUUUAACAAAUGACAUAGAAACUCUUAUUUUUCAAAUACAUUUUCCCUCCUGGGUCUCUAGCUCUUUAAGAAUUAACUGUUUUAAAUGAUCUAGUCUUCAUACUUGCAGACAGAGACUUAGCUCUAAUAAUAUGAUUAAUUAGUUUCUCUAUCAGAUAAUAACAUGAAAAAUAUUAGAAUCAGGAAAUAAACUCCAAAGACUAAUCAUUUAAAGAUAUAAUAAGAUAUAUACUAUAUAUAAUAAUCCUGUCAUUAGAUGGACCUCUCAUUUUAAAACAUAAUAAAAUGUGUAGUUUAAAAACCUAAAAUCAGCCCUAUGAAACGUGUUAGAAGCUUGGAAGUUGCCACAAGUCAAAGUGAAACUGCCUUUGCAAAAAAUCAUAAGUGAGGAAAUUAUGUCGGUGAAACAGACCUAACUGACCCCUUCUUCCUUCUAACCUUGAAACUGUGUUUGUUCAUUCCGGGGUGUAGGCCAAACUAGCCUUGGGAAGGAAUUUAUAGUUUAAACUCUGAAAUAAAAUUGAUAACAGUCCUUUCCUGAAAAACCCUUUCUUGCCUGGGGACCAGUCUGCCUUUGUAGGACUAAUAAAUUAGCUACAAGAUUAGAAAUUACGGUUUAGGGGCCAUGCAGCCUCUGACUGCAAGAGUCUGAACCUUCCCAAAAUCGCUCCUGGGAAUAACAUCACUAUGGUAAAACCUAAGAUCAGUGUUUAAGAUAUUUACAGACCCUGCGUUCUGAUAUAGCACAUGACAUCACUCAGAUGACGCCACUCAGACUGAUAAUACAGCUCAGCCAGUUCUGCGAUCCCACCCAGGAAUGAAUGUAAGCCAGCAAGAACUCACUUCGACCCCCUAUGAUUUUACCUUCAACCCAACCAAUUAGCACUCCUCACUUUCCAAGCCCAUACCCGACAAACUAUCCUUAAAAACUCUGAUCUGGGAGACUGAUUUGAGUAAUAAUAAAACUCCGAUCUCCCACACAGCUGACUCUGCUUGAAUUACUCUCUCUCCAUUGCAAUUCCCCUGUCUGGAUAAGCUGGCCCUGUCUAGGCAGCAGGCAAGGUGAACACUUGAUUACAAAAGGAUGAAGAAACUGAAGAAUCAACAACUCUUAGAUCGAUCAGAGAAGCGAGGGCACAGGGCAAACCACUGCCUCCAAAACUGGGUAAGUCAAGAGUCCUACCCACUAUAAACCUAAAUACCAUGGUAAGCUAUUACAGCAUUGGGAACAGAUGGUGAAGUUUUCCAUAAAAGAGAAAGGGAAACAGACCUGUCUGAAGCAAGAAAGCCUGUGUGGAUGAAUAUUGCUUCCAGGAGUCACAUAAUUACAUCUAAAAUCAUAGAAUGUUAGAGCUGGAGGAAUCUUUAGAGUUUGCCCAAGGUCCUUCACCAGCAUUUUACAGAAGAUUCUUCGAUUUAACUGCUCUUAAUUACAUCCCGUUGCACUGGCCCCAUCAAGUUGCUUUAAACAGCCCUUCUAGUCAACAGAGCUGCAGAGAAAAACCUUGAGCUGUCACACUUCAUUUGUGAGAACACUCCAGAGCUUCCUCCAGCUGCUGAUUCCAAACCAGCUUCACACUCCUUCUGAAUCCAAGGCAAAUAAACAAACUAUGCAAAGAAAUCAAACAUGACUUCUUCUUGGUCCUAUAAGAAGAUUGUUCAUGCUAUGCUUGUUAGAAGAGUUACAUGUAUACCUAUGAUCUUCGAAGACUAAAGAAAAUAUCAAGGAAACGUAUUUCAAUAAUGAUAUGGUCAAGACAUAGAGUUUCUUAUAUUAAUAAUACAAAGUUCACUUUCUGAAAAAAUGCACAUAUUGUUUAAGAUCGUCACAUAGUUUAUAUAUUUUAAUCGCUCCAUAAUUACGGAAUUAUUUUAAAUAAUAGCAAUAAUUAUAAUUGUAGUAUUUAAUGUCAAUAUUUCUACAAAUUAUAUUUAAGUAAAUAAGUAUAUUGUGAAAGGAGAGGGAUUCAGGAUCAGGGGUAUGUUCAAAAAUCUAUUUGUUUUUGUCAUUGUUGAAUAAAAAUCUCCCAUCUCAAAAUCUUUGUAAAAGGAUAUCCAUGGAAAAAAGAACCUAUUACUUUAUUCUCCAGUCAAAAUUAAAACUGGUUCACAAUGGCCACAUCUUCUAUUUAUACAUAAAACACAGCUUUUAACAUAGACUAAUUUUUGUCUGUUAAAAAUGAAAUUGAGAUUCAGUAAAGAUGGAUUCAAAUUCAAUACGUUAAAUCUAUUGUUUUAAAUAUACCAGGUCAUGUGUGCUCUCUCUUUUCCCUCCAACCCAUUUCACUCCCCUUCUUUCUCCUUUUGAACUGCUGACCCGAGUUAGUAGCCAAACAUAAUAAUACAGUGUUUGAUUCUCUGGAAACCCAUAAAAUUACAAACCAGCAACCACUAGGAUGUUGGCAGAAUUUCUGUGGACAGCAACCAGCAUGGUACUUUUUUUCUUUUUGAAAUGAAGCAGUACAUUGCAAUUGUUGAUACAGUACCAAGGAAGGGAAUAACGUCCACCAUAUGUCGCCCCCACCACCUAACUCUUUUGACUACUUGAGGUUGGGAGAGAGAAUUCAUCUAUUUAAAACAUGAAUGCCUUCUCUUUUAGCCUUUACUAUUUAAAGAUGCCUUUUUUCAUUUUUUUUAUUUUUAUUAAGCAGCAGUGGAGUUUUAUACUACUAUACUAAGUGCGACAGAAGAUAAACAUAUAAAUAAAACAUACCACUACAUGCCUUCAAGAAAAACAAAAUCUAAUAAAAUCUAAAAUCUAAUGGGAACUUCAAGUUUUACUGGAAAUUAGAGACUCUUUCUUCUCACUGCAACAGGAAUAUUUGAUUAGUCGUACAGCUGCAC